rnacentral:rRNA from 1 species
AUGUUUAAAUCUGCACUUGAUGGUCUCAUUGCAGGUAUGGAGAAAAAUCCGGAGGAUCAAGAUAUAUAUGGCGUUCUGUUUUCCAUUGGCAAGAAUCAUGGGAGCUUUUCAGCCAAUAUAGCCAAACAUUUAGCCAAAGAGAUCAAUAUGGCAUCUGAUGGAGAGCUGAUCUUGGAUAAACCUAGAAUCAAAGCAUUGUUAAUGGUUUCUGUCUCGGCUGCUUAUGAUGAUAAAGACAAAAAACUGGAUAUACCCGCAGUUAUAUUUUCACAUGCAAUUCCCCUGUUUGGGAUGAUCUCGUGUGCACUAGCCGAAGAUGAACAGGAUUCACUCUUAUCCUACUUGUAUCGUCAAGCUGGAAUGCAGUUUUGGGAAAAGAAGUUAGUGUCUGCAGAAGGUGGAGAUUAUGAAUGUUUCAGUGUUGAAACUCUGGGAGGAACUCAUGCACAGGUAGAAACGACUCGAAAAACAACCAAGUACUUAGAUGAAGUCGUGAUAAUGCAAUCGACAAGGCUCAUAUUAGAAACAGUUAAAGGAGCCUGGGUUGUGAUAAAGCCGUGCAGUAUAGGAGAAGUUCAAAGUACUUUGAGAACAUGCAAAGAAGAGGUCAAUAGCUUAGCUGUAAAUUCUUCUGGAUCAACUGGUGCGGUGUUGAGCUUUGUAUGCGACUAUCUUGAUGCAGUACAGCUCAUUGUUGAAAUAUGGUGGUUCAUUCAGUUGGAUGAUUCUCAUGCUUUUGGCCCCGCAUCACUUGAUAUUUUGCUUGAGAAGUUGGAUACAUCUGUGAGAAGGAUGAAAUGUUGUUAUGCUGGAUUGAAUAGAGAACUGGAGGUUCAAGUCUUGGAGUUUGCUUUGUUAGCUAUUUUAUGUAGACUGUCCGAGUUUGGAACAUGUUCAAAAUUAGUGCUAGAUAAGUUGCAUUGGAUAAUUAAUCACAUUGAUGGUCUGUGUGCCGAUGGAUCCUAUGAGCUUUCCGACUUCAGCAAAGAAGUUAAGAAAGUGUUUGAUGGUAACUUUAUCGACGGCACUCCUAUUGUCAACAUUUGCACCUUUCUUGAAAUCUUUGAUCUAAAACCAGCAAGAGAUUUUGAAAUGCUUAAUGCUACAACUGCUGUGCUGCAAGUCCGGGAUAUAGAUUCUGAAAAUCCGUUAUCAUAUGUUUAUGGAUUACCCGUGGGCGUGACCUUUGACAUGUCUCUGUGCAAUACCUCUAGUCAUGAUAGAAUAUGGCUCCGCAUGGUUGCUGGUCAGUCCGUCCAACAUGUCUUCUUAGACUUGUCUUGUUUUGAGGGCAAUGAUAAGAUGAAGAGCUGCUCCAGAGUCAUUCCUUUCUAUGCUACCCCAAUGGCAUGUUCAUUUGUUCUGAGGGCAUGCUUGGUAAUUGAAUGCCCAUUUGGAAGUAUCGGCACUCACCAGGAAGGACAUGGAGGACCAAGAGAUUGUGUAGUCCAACUAUGUGAUGAAUUGGAUGUCUACUUUGUUAGUGCUGAUACCGAGCAAAGGCAAUGGUUGAAAUGGUAG